rnacentral:rRNA from 1 species
ACAAGUAAGAAAGGGCGUGCGGCGGAUGCCUAGGCUCUUGCAGGCGAUGAAGGACGUGAUAAGCUGCGUUAAGCCAUGGGGAGGUGCAAAUAACCCUUGAUCCAUGGAUAUCCGAAUGGGACAACCCGGCAGGCUGAAGGCCUGUCAUCCAAUUAAAUUGGAGGCGAACGUGGGGAACUGAAACAUCUUAGUACCCAUAGGAAGAGAAAAUAACAAUGAUUCCCCAAGUAGUGGCGAGCGAACGGGGAAGAGCCCAAACCAUACGUGUUACGGCAUGUAUGGGGUUGUAGGGCCGCGACAUCGCAAGAUACAUGACGAGUGGAAGAAUCUGGAAAGUUUCCCCGUAGAUGGUGAUAGGCCAGUACACGAAGUCAUGCGAAGCGUAGCGGCACCCUGAGUAGCGCGGGACACGAGAAAUCCUGUGUGAAUCCGGCGGGCCCAUCCGCCAAGGCUAAAUACUCGCAAGAGACCGAUAGCGAACCAGUACCGUGAGGGAAAGGUGAAAAGCACCGCGAAUAGCGGAGUGAAAUAGUUCCUGAAACCGCACGCCUACAAGCGGUCGGAGCAUCUUAAUGGUGUGACGGCGUGCCUUUUGCAUAAUGAACCUACGAGUUGCCGUCGCCGGCGAGGUUAAGCACAAUGAUGUGCGUAUCCGAAGCGAAAGCGAGUCUUAACAGGGCGCAUAGUCAGCGGCGGCAGACGCGAAACCAAGUGAUCUACCCUUGUCCAGGUUGAAGUCCGGGUAACACCGGAUGGAGGACCGAACCAAUAAGCGUUGAAAAGCUUCUGGAUGAGGUGAGGGUAGGAGUGAAAGGCCAAUCAAACUUGGAGAUAGCUCGUACUCCCCGAAAUGCAUUUAGGUGCAGCCUCGGGAGUUCCCUGUGUGAGGUAGAGCGACUGAUCGGAUGCGAGGGCUUCACCGCCUAUCAAGUCCGGACAAACUCCGAAUGCGCACAGGUUAAUCCCGGGAGUGAGGGCAUGGGUGCUAAGGUCCGUGCCCGAGAGGAGAAGAAUCCAGACCGUCGGCUAAGGCCCCGAAAUGCGGGUUAAGUUAAACUAACGAAGUGCGGUCCCGAUGACAGCUAGGAUGUUGGCUUGGAAGCAGCCAUUCAUUCAAAGAGUGCGUAACAGCUCACUAGUCGAGGGACUGUGCAUGGAUAAUAAUCGGGUAUUAAACCCGCUGCCGAAGCCACGGGAUACUUAUGUAUCGGUAGGGGAGCAUUCCAUCGGCGUCGAAGGUAGGAGGACAACUUCUGCUGGAGCUUAUGGAAAAGCAAAUGUAGGUAUAAGUAACGAUAAAGAGUGUGAGAUGCACUCUCGCCGAAAGACUAAGGUUUCCCGGGCAACGUUAAUCGGCCCGGGGUUAGUCGGGACCUAAGGAUAAGCCGAAGGGCGAAGCCGAUGGCAGAAAUGGUUAAUAUUCCAUUACUACCUUUUAUGGCGAUUGCGGGGACGGAGAAGUGAAACUUCCGCGCGCUGACGGAAUAGCGCGUUAAAGGUUGUAGACGUUGAUCUGGGCAGGUAAAUCCACCCAGAGAGUCGAAGCUGAUAGUACACGAAGCCUUCGGGCAGAGUGAUAGUGAAGGUAAUCAGACUCCCGAGAAAAUCCGCUAAGCUUAACAUAAGAGGUACCCGUACCGCAAACGGACACACGUAGUCGGGUUGAAAAUACUGAGGCGCUUGGAAGAUUCACGGUUAAGGAACUAGGCAAAUUGACCCCGUAACUUCGGAAUAAGGGGUCCUCUCCUCCGGGAGAGGCGCAGAGAAUAGGUCCAGGCAACUGUUUAACAAAAACACAGGGCUGUGCGAAAUCGAAAGAUGAAGUAUACAGUCUGACACCUGCCCGGUGCCGGAAGGUUAAGAGGAGAUGUCACCGCAAGGGAAGCAUUGAAUUGAAGCCCCGGUAAACGGCGGCCGUAACUAUAACGGUCCUAAGGUAGCGAAAUUCCUUGUCGGGUAAGUUC